CAGAGAUCUAACUACUAGGUUACACAGAAAUCGACCUACUAGGCUACACAGAGAUCUAACUACUAGGUUACACAGAGAUCUAACUACUAGGUUACACAGAGAUCUAACAUUAGGUUACACAGAAAUCGACCUACUAGGCUACACAGAGAUCUAACUACUAGGUUACACAGAGAUCUAACUACUAGGUUACACAGAGAUCUAACAUUAGGUUACACAGAGAUCUAACUACUAGGUUACACAGAGAUCUAACUACUAGGUUACACAGAGAUCUAACUACUAGGUUACACAGAAAUCGACCUACUAGGCUACACAGAGAUCUAACUACUAGG
ensembl:lncRNA